UGACCAGCCCCAAAGGAAGAGCCGGCUAACUCUGUGCCAGCAGCCGCGGUAAUACAGAGGGCUCGAGCGUUAAUCGGAAUCACUGGGCUUAAAGCGUGCGUAGGCGGAUUUGAAGGCGCUUUGUGAAAUCCCUCGGCUCAACCGAGGAACUGCUUGGCGAACCACAAAUCUUGAGGCUGGUAGAGGUGGUCGGAACAAUAGGUGGAGCGGUGAAAUGCGUAGAUAUCUAUUGGAACACCGAAGGUGAAGACAGGCCACUGGGCCAGUCCUGACGCUGAGGCACGAAAGCGUGGGUAGCAAACGGGAUUAGAUACCCCGGUAGUCCACGCCGUAAACGAUGCGCACUUGGUCGAGGGGGUUGAACGCCUUCUCGGCCGUAGGAAAACUGAUUAGUGCGCCGCCUGGGGAGUACGGUCGCAAGAUUAAAACUCAAAGGAAUUGACGGGGGCUCACACAAGCGGUGGAGCAUGUGGCUUAAUUCGAAGCAACGCGAAGAACCUUACCUAGGCUUGACAUGCACGGAUAAAACCUAUGAAAGUAGGCGUACACCCGCAAGGGCGGAACGUGCACAGGUGCUGCAUGGCUGUCGUCAGCUCGUGCUGUGAAGUGUCGGGUUAAGUCCCUCAACGAGCGCAACCCCUGUCGCUACUUGCUAACGCGUAAUGGCGAGGACUGUAGCGAGACUGCCGGUGUCAAACCGGAGGAAGGUGGGGAUGACGUCAAGUCCUCAUGGCCUUUAUGUCUAGGGCUGCACACGUGCUACAAUGGUAUGUACAGAACGAUGCAAGACCGCAAGGUGGAGCAAAUCGCUAAAGCAUACCCCAGUUCAGAUUGCGGGCUGAAAUUCGCCCGCAUGAAGUUGGAAUCGCUAGUAAUCGCGGAUCAGCUACGCCGCGGUGAAUAUGUUCCUGAGCCUUGUACACACCGCCCGUCAAGUCAUGGGAGCCGGCAGUGCCCGAAGUCGCGCAAAUUCAUGCGUGCCCACGGCAAGGCUGGUGACUGGGACUAAGUCGUAACAAGGUAGCCGUAGGGGAACCUGCGGCUGGAUCACCUCCUUU
rnacentral:rRNA from 1 species